GACGAACGCUGGCGGCGUGCUUAACACAUGCAAGUCGAACGGAAAGGCCCUGCUCUUGUUGGGUGCUCGAGUGGCGAACGGGUGUGUAACACGUGAGUAACCUGCCCUUGACUUUGGGAUAACUUCAGGAAACUGGGGCUCAUACCGGAUAGGAGCUCCUGCUGCACGGUGGGGGUUGGAAAGUUUCGGCGGUUCGGGAUGGACUCGCGGCUUAUCAGCUUGUUGGUGGGGUAGUGGCUUACCAAGGCUUUGACGGAUAGGCGGCCUGAGCGGGUGAACGGGGACAAGGGGACUGAGAGACGGCCCAGACGCGUACGGGAGGCAACAGGGGGGAAUAUUGCACAGUGGGCGGAAGCCUGAGGCAGCAACGCCGCGUGCGGGAUGACGGGCUUCGAGUUGUAAACCGCUUUCGCCUGUGACGAAGCGUGAGUGACGGUAAUGGGUAAAGAAGCACCGGCUAACUACGUG
rnacentral:rRNA from 1 species